AACGAACGCUGGCGGCAUGCCUAACACAUGCAAGUCGAACGAGACCUUCGGGUCUAGUGGCGCACGGGUGCGUAACGCGUGGGAACCUGCCCUUAGGUUCGGGAUAACUCCCCGAAAGGGGUGCUAAUACCGGAUAAUGUCUUCGGACCAAAGAUUUAUCGCCUUUGGAUGGGCCCGCGUUGGAUUAGCUAGUUGGUAGGGUAAAAGCCUACCAAGGCGACGAUCCAUAGCUGGUCUGAGAGGAUGAUCAGCCACACUGGGACUGAGACACGGCCCAGACUCCUACGGGAGGCAGCAGUGGGGAAUAUUGGACAAUGGGCGAAAGCCUGAUGCAGCAAUGCCGCGUGAGUGAUGAAGGCCUUAGGGUUGUAAAGCUCUUUUACCCGGGAUGAUAAUGACAGUACCGGGAGAAUAAGCUCCGGCUAACUCCGUG
rnacentral:rRNA from 1 species